rnacentral:misc_RNA from 1 species
CCAAGCCUUCUGGCGAUCUCUUAAAAUAAAGCCUUAGUCUGUUUUCAACAAACAGAACGUUUAGACAUAUGUUUAAAUUCUUAUGAUCUUUAAGCUCUUAUGAAAUUUAAAUAUUAUGAAUUUAAAAAAGGCUUUAUGAAGAAAGCACUUUAAGCUUUUCCAGCAAUUUAAGAUGAUACCGGGGAAGGUUUCCGGUUUAUCCCGGAGGGCUUGUAGCUCAGUUGGUUAGAGCGCGCGCUUGAUAAGCGUGAGGUCGGAGGUUCAAGUCCUCCCAGGCCCACCAAUUUAUGCUCGUUUUUUGCUUAUCCAAGGGUAUGAAGCUUAAGCGUAUUAAAGCCUCUUUAAUCUUUGUUUGUUUUAAAGAUUUAAUUGUAUUACCCAAGGAUUGUCUGGUAAGUUUAUCCUAUUAAGUUCAUCGGAGAGGAUUUUAAAAUCCCUUUAAAGGUAUAGAAGAAUUUAAAUGAUGCCAAUCAAAAGAGUCCAAGUCAUUCAAGUUGAUGAAUAUUCUUGAGGUUGAUUUGAGAAAGCAUUAUUUAGGGGCCGUAGCUCAGCUGGGAGAGCACCUGCUUUGCAAGCAGGGGGU